rnacentral:rRNA from 1 species
CAGCAGCCGCGGGAAUACGUAGGUGGCAAGCGUUGUCCGGAAUUAUUGGGCGUAAAGCGCGCGCAGGUGGUUUAAUAAGUCUGAUGUGAAAGCCCACGGCUCAACCGUGGAGGGUCAUUGGAAACUGUUAAACUUGAGUGCAGGAGAGAAAAGUGGAAUUCCUAGUGUAGCGGUGAAAUGCGUAGAGAUUAGGAGGAACACCAGUGGCGAAGGCGGCUUUUUGGCCUGUAACUGACACUGAGGCGCGAAAGCGUGGGGAGCAAACGGGAUUAGAUACCCCUGUAGUCCCUGUCUCUUAUAC